GACGAACGCUGGCGGCGUGCUUAACACAUGCAAGUCGAACGAAGUGGCGAACGGGUGAGUAACGCGUAAUCCACCUGCCCUUCAGAGGGGGACAACAGUUGGAAACGACUGCUCAUACCGCAUCCUGCAGGAGGGGCUUGCGUCUGAUUAGCUCGUUGGAGGGGUAACGGCACACCAAGGCGAUGAUCAGUAGCCGGGCUGAGAGGAUGAACGGCCACAUUGGGACUGAGACACGGCCCAGACUCCUACGGGAGGCAGCAGUGGGGAAUCUGCCGCAAUGGACGAAAGUCUGACGAAGCAACGCCGCGUGAGUGAUGACGGCCUUCGGGUUGUAAAGCUCUGUUAAUCGGGACGCGGUACCGGAAUAGAAAGCCACGGCUAACUACGUGCCAGCAGCCGCGGUAAUUC
rnacentral:rRNA from 1 species